rnacentral:rRNA from 1 species
UUGACCUCGGAUCAGGUAGGGAUACCCGCUGAACUUAAGCAUAUCAAUAAGCGGAGGAAAAGAAACCAACCGGGAUUGCCCUAGUAACGGCGAGUGAAGCGGCAAGAGCUCAAAUUUGAAAGCUGGCUCCUUCGGGGUCCGCAUUGUAAUUUGCAGAGGAUGCUUCGGGAGCGGUCCCCAUCUAAGUGCCCUGGAACGGGCCGUCAUAGAGGGUGAGAAUCCCGUAUGGGAUGGGGUGCCCGCGCCCGUGUGAAGCUCCUUCGACGAGUCGAGUUGUUUGGGAAUGCAGCUCUAAUUGGGUGGUAAAUUUCAUCUAAAGCUAAAUAUUGGCCGGAGACCGAUAGCGCACAAGUAGAGUGAUCGAAAGAUGAAAAGCACUUUGAAAAGAGAGUUAAACAGCACGUGAAAUUGUUGAAAGGGAAGCGCUUGCGAUCAGACUCGCUCGCGGGGUUCAGCCGGCCUUCGGGCCGGUGUACUUCCCCGCGGGCGGGCCAGCGUCGGUUUGGGCGGCCGGUCAAAGGCCCCUGGAAUGUAACGCCUCUCGGGGCGUCUUAUAGCCAGGGGUGCCAUGCGGCCUGCCCGGACCGAGGAACGCGCUUCGGCUCGGACGC